AUUGAACGCUGGCGGCAGGCCUAAUACAUGCAAGUCGAACGAGUGGCGGACGGGUGAGUAAUGUCUGGGAAACUAGCUUAUGGAGGGGGAUAACUACUGGAAACUGUAGCUAAUACCGCGUACCAUAGGAUGAGCCCAGGUGGGAUUAGGUAGUUGGUGAGGUAAAGGCUCACCAAGACGACGAUCCCUAGCUGGUCUGAGAGGAUGAUCAGCCACACGGGGACUGAGACACGGCCCAGACUCCUACGGGAGGCAGCAGUGGGGAAUAUUGCACAAUGGGCGCAAGCCUGAUGCAGCCAUGCCGCGUGUAUGAAGAAGGCCUUCGGGUUGUAAAGUACUUUCAGUCGGGAGGCGUUACCGACAGAAGAAGCACCGGCUAACGCCGUGCCAGCAGCCGCGGUAAUAC
rnacentral:rRNA from 1 species